GGGGAUUUAGCUCAAUGGUUCCAGCACCUGCCUUGCAAGCAGAAAGUCCCAAGUUCGAUCCCUGGUACCA
rnacentral:tRNA from 1 species